GAUGAAGAACGUAGCGAAAUGCGAUAAGUAAUGUGAAUUGCAGAAUUCAGUGAAUCAUCGAAUCUUUGAACGCAUCUCGCGCUCCUUGGUAUUCCUUGGAGCAUGCCUGUUUGAGUAUCAUGAGCAAAUCUCAAAGUCAAUUCCUUUUGUUAAUUCAAUUGGUUUUGCUUUGGACUUGGAGGUCUUGCAGAUUUCACAGUCUGCUCCUCUUAAAUGCAUUAGCUGGAUCUCAGUAAUUAUGCUUGGUUCCACUCGGCGUGAUAAGUAUCACUCGCUGAGGACACUGUUAAAAAGGUGGCCAGGAAAAUACUGAUUGAACCGCUUCUAACGGUCUAUUAAGUUAGACAAUUGACCCUUAAGUUUGAUCUCAAAUCAGGUAGGACUACCCGCUGAACUUAAGCAUAUCAAUAAGCGGAGGA
rnacentral:misc_RNA from 1 species